rnacentral:lncRNA from 1 species
UGCCUACUGUACCACUUUCAUUGUAUUUGAUAAUUAUUAUCCAAUCGUAAAUUAAAUAAGCUCAAAAGAUUCAUCUCGUAAAUUGUAGACAAAACUCAACAAUUAGUUUAGAUGUGACCAGAAAUCCCAAAAAAUUUAAAAAUUAAACCAGGCCCUAGAAAAGCCUACCUUUCUCGAACUUCCAAACAGAGGAGACACACCUACCGAUCAUGAAAUGCAUAAAAAAAAAAGCCUACAGUAAAAAACUGCCCUUGGAGCCCGGCC